GGAAACAAACUUUGUUCCAAUAACUCGAGGAGAAACAGUGGUUCUUAUGGUCAAUGGGUUAGGUGGCUCUCCUACCAUGGAACUAAUGAUUACAGCUGGAAAGACAGUUCCAAAAUUGCAGCUGGAGCAUGGACUGGCUGUUGAUAGAGUUUAUACAGGGUCAUUUAUGACUUCUCUUGAUAUGGCAGGUUUCUCAAUUUCUAUCAUGAAAGCUGAUC